rnacentral:rRNA from 1 species
UCAUGGAUAUAGAGCAAUAUCACGAAUUAGUUUGAGCUAAAUAUCGCUAAUUUUUAGUUUUUAUUAAUAAAUGUCGCAAAAUUUCGGAAUAAGCGAUAUUUAGGGGUGAGAUGCCUACAAAAGCUAAGAUAGCUUGAUACCUUUAAAAAGUAUCUAGUACGUUUAUAGGUGCGCAGUGUUUAGGCUUCGCAUAAAUAUUAAUAAUUAUAAAACAUCCAAGCAAAGUUUAAUAACUAACUUUUUAAAACAGCUACUAUAGAGAAACCUAAAAUUGUAUUGAGUAAAAGGUUGUAAAGGCAACUUAGGUUUUUAUUAAUAAUGUUUUUAUGAGUAUUUUAAGAAGGCCCCUAUAAAGAACUCGGCAACAACCCUCUCAACUGUUUAUCAAAAACAUAACUGUGAGACUUUAAUCAUAGCUUUUUCUGCUCGGUGAUAUUUUAACAGCCGCAGUACCCUGACUGUGCAAAGGUAGCAUAAUCAGUUGACUCAUAAUUGGAGCCCGGAAUGAAUGAAGAAAUGGGGGGGUGCUGUUUCAUGGGGGGAAGCAGAAAUUAAUUAUCAAGUGAAAAUGCCUGAUAUAAAAUAAUAGACGAGAAGACCCUAGAAAUUUUUACAAGAUUAUAGAAAAUGGCGUUUUUGUUGGGGCAACAAAAUAACACUCAAAACUUAUUUAUAUUGAAUUUGAAAAUUUUGAUUUGAUUAACCAAAUUACUCUAGGGAUAACAGCAUAAUAUUGAAAAGUUUGUGACCUACGAUGUUGGAUCUAGGGAAUCUAAGUUUAGAAGGGCUGAGUUGUGUGCUCUGUGUGGCCCC